GUUCAUUCAAACUCUCCUCCGCCGGGCGUUCGUGUUUUCUUCCAGCGAGUCGAGGACGGACGUCGGUCGCCGUCUUGACACACGUUCUCCCGAGUCGUCGUUGCCGGGGUGAGCGAGCUCUUCUUCGCGUUUCACACAAUGACAACCGAGUGAGGACCAUCAGCAGGUGUCCGUUCGAUCUCGAGAGCGUGCACCAAUCAUUGCGGGCGUAAUUUUGCCGAAGUGAGAAGUAAAAAAAGGAAAGGAAUUUUCUUCUCGCAGUGUAAAGGUGCAAACUUAUGACAAUCUUGAAUACGAUCAAACUUUUUCAAAUACAAGGCCGGACUAUGAAUACCGGUGAUAAACGCCUCGUUGCCCGACGAGAGCCUCCGGCAAAGCCGUAUGCAGUUCCGGAAGUGAGGAUAAGAAAAAAGAAGAAAAAAAAAAACGAGAAAAAA